rnacentral:rRNA from 1 species
UACGUAGGGUGCGAGCGUUAAUCGGAAUUACUGGCGUAAAGCGUGCGCAGGCGGUUUUGUAAGCCAGAUGUGAAAUCCCCGGGCUUAACCUGGGAAAUCGGCAUUUGGGACUGCAAGGCUGGAGUUUGGCAGAGGAGACUGGAAUCCUGGUGUAGCAGUGAAAUGCGUAGAUAUCAGGAGGAAUACCGGUGGCGAAGGCGG